rnacentral:rRNA from 1 species
CAGAGGUCACUGSUAKSRKWRUWSGACUAAGCCAUGCGAGUCAAAUGUUCUUCGUGAACAUGGCGUACUGCUCAGUAACACGUGGACAACCUGCCCUAAGGUCUGGCAUAACUCCGGGAAACUGGGGAUAAUUCCAGAUAAACCAUGGAUACUGGAAUGUACUGUGAUUAAAAGCUCCGGCGCCUUAGGAUGGAUCUGCGGCCUAUCAGGUAGUAGUGGGUGUAAUGUACCUACUAGCCUACGACGGGUACGGGUUGUGAGAGCAAGAGCCCGGAGAUGGAUUCUGAGACAUGAAUCCAGGCCCUACGGGGCGCAGCAGGCGCGAAAACUUUACAAUGCGGGAAACCGCGAUAAGGGGACACUGAGUGCCAGCACCAUGUGCUGGCUGUCCGCAUGUAUAAAUCACAUGUGUCAGCAAGGGCCGGGCAAGACCGGUGCCAGCCGCCGCGGUAACACCGGCGGCCCGAGUGGUGGCCAUUAUUAUUGGGUCUAAAGGGUCCGUAGCCGGUUUGAUCAGUCUUCCGGGAAAUCUGACAGCUCAACUGUUAGGCUUCUGGGGGAUACUGUCAGACUUGGAACCGGGAGAGGUAAGAGGUACUACAGGGGUAGGAGUGAAAUCUUGUAAUCCUUGUGGGACCACCAGUGGCGAAGGCGUCUUACCAGAACGGGUUCGACGGUGAGGGACGAAAGCUGGGGGCACGAACCGGAUUAGAUACCCGGGUAGUCCCAGCCGUAAACGAUGCUCGCUAGGUGUCUGGGAUGGUGCGACCGUUUCASGUGCCGCAGGGAAGCCGUGAAGCGAGCCACCUGGGAAGUACGGCCGCAAGGCUGAAACUUAAAGGAAUUGGCGGGGGGAGCACUACWWCSGGUKSMGCCUGCGGUUUAAUUG